GCCAGGAGUGGUGGCGCACACCUGUAAUCCCAGACACUCAGGAGGCUGAGGCAGGAGAAUCACUUGAACCCGGGAGGUGGAGGUUGCAGUGAGCCGAGAUGGCGCCACUGCACUCUAGCCUGGGCAACAGAGUGAGACUCUGUCUCAA
rfam:Pan troglodytes isolate Yerkes chimp pedigree #C0471 (Clint) chromosome X, whole genome shotgun sequence.